AGAGUUUGAUCCUGGCUCAGGAUAAACGCUGGCGGCGUGCCUAACACAUGCAAGUCGAACGCCCUUUCCCGCAAGGGGGAGGGAGUGGCGGACGGGUGAGGAACACGUGGGUGACCUACCCCCCGGUGAGGAAUACCGCCGAGAAAUCGGCGACAAGACCGCAUAAAUUCGCUCAGUUUGGAGACCGAGCGAGCAAAGCUUGUGCUCGUGAGAGCAGAAGCGCCAGGGGAUGGGCCUGCGUCCGAUUAGCUGGUUGGUGGGGUAAAAGCUCACCAAGGCUUCGAUCAGUAGCUGGUCUGAGAGGAUGAGCAGCCACACUGGGAUUGAGAACGGCCCAGACUCCUACGGGAGGCAGCAGUGAGGAAUUCUCCACAAUGGGGGCAACCCUGAUGGAGCAACGCCGCGUGCAGGAGGACGCUUUUCGGAGUGUAAACUGUUUUUCCCAGGGACGAGUACGGACGGUACCUGGGGAAUAAGCCCCGGCUAACUACGUGCCAGCAGCCGCGGUAAUAC
rnacentral:rRNA from 1 species